rnacentral:rRNA from 1 species
AGAGUUUGAUCCUGGCUCAGGACGAACGCUGGCGGCGUGCUUAACACAUGCAAGUCGAACGAUGACGGUGGUGCUUGCCCCACCUGAUUAGUGGCGAACGGGUGAGUAACACGUGAGUAACCUGCCCUUCACUUCGGGAUAACCUCGGGAAAUCGUGGCUAAUACCGGAUAUGAGCUCCUUCCGCAUGGCGGGGGCUGGAAAGAUUUAUCGGUGAAGGAUGGACUCGCGGCCUAUCAGUUUGUUGGUGAGGUAAUGGCUCACCAAGGCGAUGACGGGUAGCCGGCCUGAGAGGGCGACCGGCCACACUGGGACUGAGACACGGCCCAGACUCCUACGGGAGGCAGCAGUGGGGAAUAUUGCACAAUGGGCGAAAGCCUGAUGCAGCGACGCCGCGUGGGGGAUGACGGCCUUCGGGUUGUAAACCCCUUUCAGUAGGGAAGAAGCGAAAGUGACGGUACCUGCAGAAGAAGCGCCGGCUAACUACGUGCCAGCCGCCGCGGUAAUUC